rnacentral:rRNA from 1 species
GCGUAAAGAGCUCGUAGGCGGCUUGUUGCGUCCGCUGUGAAAUCCCGGGGCUCAACCCCGGGCGUGCAGUGGAUACGGGCAGGCUGGAGGCAGGCAGGGGAGAACGGAAUUCCCGGUGUAGCGGUGAAAUGCGCAGAUAUCGGGAGGAACACCGGUGGCGAAGGCGGUUCUCUGGGCCUGUCCUGACGCUGAGGAGCGAAAGCGUGGGGAGCGAACAGGAUUAGAUACCCUGGUAGUCCACGCCGUAAACGUUGGGCGCUAGGUGUGGGUCCCUUCCACGGGGCCUGUGCCGCAGCUAACGCAUUAAGCGCCCCGCCUGGGGAGUACGGCCGCAAGGCUAAAACUC